rnacentral:sRNA from 1 species
GCUUAGCCCAGAUAGCAGUGAAAAUCCUUUUUAUCCGCCUUUUCGGCGGAUAAAAAGAUUGCAAUGGAUAGCUGGAAAUAGC